UACGGGGGGGGCAAGCGUUGUUCGGAAUUACUGGGCGUAAAGGGCUCGUAGGCGGCCAACUAAGUCCGACGUGAAAUCCCCAGGCUUAACCUGGGAACUGCGUCGGAUACUGGAUGGCUUGAAUUCGGGAGAGGGAUGCAGAAUUCCAGGUGUAGCGGUGAAAUGCGUAGAUAUCUGGAGGAAUACCGGUGGCGAAGGCGGCAUCCUGGACCGACAUUGACGCUGAUGAGCGAAAGCUAGGGGAGCAAACGGG
rnacentral:rRNA from 1 species